UACGGAGGGUGCGAGCGUUAAUCGGAAUUACUGGGCGUAAAGCGCGCGUAGGCGGUUGAUCAAGUUGGGUGUGAAAUUCCUGGGCUUAACCUGGGCAGGCCACUCAAAACUGGUUAACUAGAGUACAGUAGAGGUCAGUGGAAUUUCCGGUGUAGCAGUGAAAUGCGUAGAGAUCGGAAGGAACACCAGUGGCGAAGGCGACUGACUGGUCUGAUACUGACGCUGAGGUGCGAAGGCGUGGGGAGCAAACAGG
rnacentral:misc_RNA from 1 species